AGUGAACGCUGGCGGUAGGCCUAACACAUGCCAGUCGAACGGCAGCACAGUAAGAGCUUGCUCUUACGGGUGGCGAGUGGCGGACGGGUGAGGAAUACAUCGGAAUCUACUUUUUCGUGGGGGAUAACGUAGGGAAACUUACGCUAAUACCGCAUACGACCUACGGGUGAAAGCAGGGGAUCUUCGGACCUUACGCGAUUGAAUGAGCCGAUGUCGGAUUAGCUAGUUGGCGGGGUAAAGGCCCACCAAGGCGACGAUCCGUAGCUGGUCUGAGAGGAUGAUCAGCCACACUGGAACUGAGACACGGGCCAGACUCCUACGGGAGGCAGCAGUGGGGAAUAUUGGACAAUGGGCGCAAGCCUGAUCCAGCCAUACCGCGUGGGUGAAGAAGGCCUUCGGGUUGUAAAGCCCUUUUGUUGGGAAAGAAAAGCAGCAGGUUAAUACCCCGCUGUUCUGACGGUACCCAAAGAAUAAGCACCGGCUAACUUCG
rnacentral:rRNA from 1 species